rnacentral:rRNA from 1 species
GAACGCGAAGAACCUUACCAGGUCUUGACAUCCCUCUGACCGCUCUAGAGAUAGAGUUUUCCUUCGGGACAGAGGUGACAGGUGGUGCAUGGUUGUCGUCAGCUCGUGUCGUGAGAUGUUGGGUUAAGUCCCGCAACGAGCGCAACCCCUAUUGUUAGUUGCCAUCAUUUAGUUGGGCACACUAGCGAGACUGCCGGUAAUAAACCGGAGGAAGGUGGGGAUGACGUCAAAUCAUCAUGCCCCUUAUGACCUGGGCUACACACGUGCUACAAUGGCUGGUACAACGAGUCGCAAGCCGGUGACGGCAAGCUAAUCUCUUAAAGCCAGUCUCAGUUCGGAUUGUAGGCUGCAACUCGCCUACAUGAAGUCGGAAUCGCUAGUAAUCGCGGAUCAGCACGCCGCGGUGAAUACGUUCCCGGGUCUUGUACACACC